rnacentral:rRNA from 1 species
GACGAACGCUGGCGGCGUGCUUAACACAUGCAAGUCGAACGGAAAGGCCUCUUUCGGGGGGUACUCGAGUGGCGAACGGGUGAGUAACACGUGAGUAACCUGCCCUUGACUUUGGGAUAACUUCAGGAAACUGGGGCUAAUACCGGAUAGGAGCUCCUGCUGCAUGGUGGGGGUUGGAAAGUUUCGGCGGUUGGGGAUGGACUCGCGGCUUAUCAGCUUGUUGGUGGGGUAGUGGCUUACCAAGGCUUUGACGGGUAGCCGGCCUGAGAGGGUGACCGGCCACAUUGGGACUGAGAUACGGCCCAGACUCCUACGGGAGGCAGCAGUGGGGAAUAUUGCACAAGGGGUGGAAGCCUGAUGCAGCAACGCCGUGUGCGGGAGGACGGCCUUCGGGUUGUAAACCGCUUUCGCUCAUGACGAAGCUUUGUGUGACGGUAGUGGGUAAAGAAGCACCGGCUAACUACGUG